AAACCAGGAACCAAACCCUUACCAUCAACAACCAUACACAGCCACCACAUUUGUAUAUAGCCCAGAUGAUUCAUACGAUUCAACCUCAUCCCACCAUAACCCCUCACUUAUGAACACCCAAACAUCUCAUCGCCACAACACCCAACCAUUAUUUGACUUUCUUACACCACGGGAACCAUUACUUCGUUUCCAAAAUGAUUCAAUGUUCCAAUUCGGGCAAUCAUAUCGUCCAUAAACAACCCAACCACAAC
rnacentral:lncRNA from 1 species